CCCUUAGAUGUCCUGGGCCGCACGCGCGCUACACUGAUGCAUUCAACGAGUUCUACCUUGGCCGAGAGGCCUGGGCAAUCUUUUGAACCUGCAUCGUGAUAGGGAUAGAUUAUUGCAAUUAUUAAUCUUGAACGAGGAAUUCCUAGUAAACGCAGAUCAUCAAUCUGCAUUGAUUACGUCCCUGCCCUUUGUACACACCGCCCGUCGCACCUACCGAUUGCAUGGUCCGGUGAAGCCUCGGGAUUGUGGCGAGUUCCCUUUAUUGGGAGUUUGUCGCGAGAACUUGUCUAAACCUUAUCAUUUAGAGGAAGGUGAAGUCGUAACA
rnacentral:rRNA from 1 species